UGGCAAUUAACAAGAGUAAAAAUAACAUUUACACAUAAAAAAAAAAAAAAAAAACUAUUUACAACUUAUUUAAUAAUACAGUUUUGUUGGGUAACUCAAAAAUUGGCUGCCUCGACGUUUUGGCACCUUAUUUUUUGUUAAUUUUUUUUUCCCUUCCCCCUCUCUUUUCUCUAUCAAACACCAAACUCUAACAAACAGAGAGGCGAGGCGAUGGUGAGAGAAAGAGAGGAGAAGGAGGAACAGAGGAGGAGCAAAGGAGGAAGAGAAAGAGAGGACGCCAGAGGUGGCUUCACCGGCCAAAUGGGAAGCCGCCAGAGUGGGUUUGCGGUGUUGAAUCUCAACUUCCUCUUCUUCUUCCUCUACUCUCUCUCUCUCUCUCUCUCUCUCUCUCUCUCUAACAAACCCACUUUCUCUCUUUAAAAAUUAUCAAACCCCUUUAUCUUCAACUUCCUCUUCUUCUUCCUCUACUUUCUCUCUCUAAAAACUACAAAACUCAUCACAAAAUUAAAGCAAACGCACUUGCUCUCUCUAAACACUAUCAAACCCACCGCAAAAUUGAAGCAAACCCAACAAGGAUUAUUCAGUUAACACUAACAAACAACAUAAAUCAUCUAGAUGCAAGACUUUGGUUCUGGUUUCUUCAAUUUCUUUCUUUCUUUUCUCUGAUUUUUUUUUUUUUAUUUCUUUCUUCAUGUUGUUUUUGGGGAGUUUUUGAUUUGUACAUGAGUUUUGCUCUAAAAAAAUAGAUCUGGAGAAAGAAUGAGGGAGGGUGGUGUUGGGUUGGCCGAAGUUGGUGGGGGUGGGGAACAGGAGGCCGUAGGGUGCCGGCAGUUGCGGUGAUAGGGUGGUCACGUUGGUGAGGGUCGCGGGAGACUUUGGAUGGGUCUGAGAGAGAUAAAGAGGUGAGAAAAAGUAGUAUGUGUGAGGUCCAAAAUCGAAGAGAGAGAGAGACUACUAAAAUUUGGGCCAUUGGGGGUUGAAAUUUCGAGGUACACAGCUUUAUUCUUAAUAGUACUAGCCAAUAACUUAAAUUUAUAAUUCAAACAAAUUAAUAAUCUAUUAAAUUAUAAUUUAUAAUUUAUUUUAACAAAUCACAUCAAACAUUUCAUUAUCCUUUCUUGGGCACCGCCAGGCCACCACCGUAGAAGCAACUUUUCCUCUCUGGGGUUUAACAGAUCAACAAGCAUGACAAUUUUCUCUCUCUAGGGUUUAAGGUCAUUUCUAACGUUUAAUCAAAUCCAUCACCAAAUUUGAAUUUGGUGCAACAUGACACUUUUUUGGUCUUCAACGGUUUUAUCGAAGCUCUAUCAAAUUGAGAAUGUGUCAAAAUUUGCACCAAACUUUGCACCUUUCAACAAUUUAUUGUGCAUAGCCAUUGAGUGUGGACAACCGGCCGAUGUCCGGCCGGAUGUCCCCUCGGAUGACCACCUCAAGGCAUAAUUUGUGAAAAAUUUACGUUGAUCAGUCAACCCCCCAGAUGACCACCUCUACAUCUUUUUUUGACUUGUACACCAUUAUGUUCAUCAGGUAGAGAAACAUAGGUGGCAUGAGAUGAAUCUGAUAGAGGUAACCAGAUGGAGAAUUUCAAUCUCUCCUAUGAGAACAAAACAAAUAUUAAGGAGGCAUUGGAAAACAAGGGUUUUCCCCUAGAAAAUGAAUCUUGGCAGGUAGUAGAGAUCAACAAGCUACUGCUAACAAUGACCCAUGGUAGAGAAAUUCAAAAUCAGCGAAAGUUCAAAGAAACUAAGAAAUGUGAAACAAGCACAUGUGAAAACACAACAAAAAAUCAAAAACACCGAAGAAAACAAAUACAAGGUGUUCUGGUUGAGUCCCAGAAAAGAUUAGGAAUAUUAUGCGCUAAAAUUAGGCAAGUGUGAAAGAAAAUUGAAACAGAGAAACCAAAAGGGGCAUUUUUAUUUAUUUAUUUUGAAAUUUGUUGUGAUAUUCAAUUAAACUAUAAAAUCUAUUGAAAAUUGAGACCAAAAACAGAAUAGUAAUCCGAGAAUGUUUGAAGAAAAUAGGAAACCAAAAAGGGCAAUUUAAAAAAUAAAAUAAAAAAAUUUGUUUUGUGGUUUUGAAAUAAGACUGUAAUUUCAAUUGAACCCAAAACAUAAGAGUUGAAAGUAAAAGAAACAAAGUUCAAAGAAGGACAAAAACUGGUACCAAUGAUACAUACCUAUCAACUAAAAAUGGGUUCCUGGUUCAGAGAACAAGAAGAACAAGAUUUUAAAGAUGUUUUUGGCUUACCAUGAAAGAGAAGCUUAAGGUUGUCGAAGAUCUUUGGUUGAGAUAGAAGAGAGAGCUGAAAAGCAAAGGCACUGUAGCAACCCAGAAGAAGCCUCAAAGAACUUCCACAAUCACACCUAGAAAAGUUGUUACAGAUUCUUCGGAUUGCAUUUGCUAGUUGACCGGCCGGACGACCGGCCGGUCGUCAACUUGUGUUUUACUGACAGCUAAAAAUUCACCGAUGGAGAGCUUGAUAUCAAUAGAGGAAUUCGUCAAAUUUUUACUCAAAUUUGAUAAAAUAUUUGGUGAACUGCUAGAGAUGCCCUAAGAACAACAUCAAUAAUAGGAGGAGCAAGAGGCAAUACCUCUUUCAUCUCCACUCAUCUGCAGGUGGCUCCACCACAGCUCCAGCCGCCACCACCUUUGCCAAAAAUCUAGUUUUCGCUUUUUGUAAAAAACUAACAACACUUACCCUAUUUGCCAAUGCUCAAUUGGCAAUACGGACACAGUUGUGCUCAAGGAGAAUUAAAUCGCACUGUGUGUGUCUCACUCGUCCUCGAAUCACACUGUUUUGAAGCAACAGAUUCUGAUGAGGGUUUGAGGAAUUUGAGGAAGCUGGUGGAAAAUAAGGGCAUUGCAUUUGCAGUGUUUUUGGAAAGUCCAAUUAGAAGAUGGUUGAGAUUUUGCACCGUUCAGUGGGAAUUAUUCACAGAAACCAUGUUGAGCAUAUAACUACUUUCAUCAAAGUGAGUGUGGAUGAAGAGUCAAAGGACAAUUUCGAUUCUGAUGUGCAGCCAACACCUAAGAAAAGCCUCACUUUCUGUGUUGAAGGAAACAUCAGUGUUUGGAAGACAACUUUCCUUCGGAGAAUAGCUAAUGAAACACUUGAGCUGCAAGAUCUUGUCGAGGUUACUCCUGAACUUAUUAAAACUAGCAAGCUGUUGGACCCGAUCACUUUAAUAUAUUGGUUCAUUAUACGCUGAGCCACAAAAGCAUGCAUAUACCUUGCAAAACUGUGUGUUUGUUACUAGUGUCAGUAAUCUUUAAUUUCUUUAUGUAAUGUGUCUCUUCCAACA